rnacentral:rRNA from 1 species
AGGAUUAACGCUGGCGGCGUGCAUGAAACAUGCGAGUCGAGCGCGGUGUGAUGCGGGGUAACCCAAUUCACAUCUAGCGGCGAACGGGUGAGUAACACGUGAGCAACCUACCUUUGAGUUGGGGAUAGCCCUGGGAAACCAGGAUUAAUACCCGAUGUGGUCACAACAGGACAUCCUGAUGUGAGUAAAGGCGUAAGCCGCUCAAUGACGGGCUCGCGGCCUAUUAGCUUGUUGGUGGGGUAACGGCCUACCAAGGCGAUGAUGGGUAGCUGGUCUGAGAGGACGAUCAGCCACACUGGGACUGAGACACGGCCCAGACUCCUACGGGAGGCAGCAGUUAGGAAUUUUCCGCAAUGGGCGAAAGCCUGACGGAGCAACGCCGCGUGAGUGAUGAAGACCUUCGGUUGUAAACCCCUUUCAGUUGGGACGAAGCUCCGCCGGUGAAGUAGCCGGCUGGAGUGACGGUACCUCAGAAGAACGCCCGGCUAACGUACGUGCCAGCA